rnacentral:misc_RNA from 1 species
ACAGAUAAGCGUGAUCGGAAGCACACACCACAUUCUAUACAUGCCAGCGUCUAUUUGAAUGCCAUUUGUGACCUUGGAGCUUCUGGCGAACAUUCAAGCUGAAGAAGCACCUGCAACCCACACAGACAAGAGGCUGGUUGAGUGCCCUUUAUGCCCUCAGAGCUUCUCACAAAAGAGUCAUCUGAACCGACACCUGCGCACCCACACAGGCGACAGGCCAUUUCAGUGCCCUGCAUGCCCUCAUACCUGCUCACAAAAGAGUCAUCUGAACAAACACCUGCGCACCCACACAGGUGAGAGGCCAUUUCAGUGCCCUUCAUGCCCUCAGAGCUUCUCACGAAA